rnacentral:precursor_RNA from 1 species
CCACGACCCCGUUGGGAAUCGGACCCAGGAUUCUCUGGCUCCGCGACGAGCGCCUCGCUAUUGGACCACUGAGCCGGCUCCUUACGGUUGAUA